rnacentral:rRNA from 1 species
ACUCCUACGGGAGGCAGCAGUGGGGAAUAUUGCACAAUGGGCGCAAGCCUGAUGCAGCCAUGCCGCGUGUGUGAAGAAGGCCUUCGGGUUGUAAAGCACUUUCAGUUGUGAGGAAGGUGGUGUCGUUAAUAGCGGCAUCAUUUGACGUUAGCAACAGAAGAAGCACCGGCUAACUCCGUGCCAGCAGCCGCGGUAAUACGGAGGGUGCGAGCGUUAAUCGGAAUUAUUGGGCGUAAAGAGCUCGUAGGACGGUGUGUCGCGUCGGCCGUGAAAACUUGGGGCUUAACUCUGAGCGUGCGGUCGAUACGGGCAUCACUUGAGUUCGGCAGGGGAGACUGGAAUUCCUGGUGUAGCGGUGAAAUGCGCAGAUAUCAGGAGGAACACCGGUGGCGAAGGCGGGUCUCUGGGCCGAUACUGACGCUGAGGAGCGAAAGCAUGGGGAGCGAACAGGAUUAGAUACCCUGGUAGGCUCUG